AUUGAACGCUGGCGGCAUGCUUUACACAUGCAAGUCGAACGGUAACAGGCCGCAAGGUGCUGACGAGUGGCGAACGGGUGAGUAAUGCAUCGGAACGUGCCCAGUCGUGGGGGAUAACGCAGCGAAAGCUGUGCUAAUACCGCAUACGAUCUGUGGAUGAAAGCGGGGGACCUUCGGGCCUCGCGCGAUUGGAGCGGCCGAUGUCAGAUCAGGUAGUUGGUGGGGUAAAGGCUCACCAAGCCGACGAUCUGUAGCUGGUCUGAGAGGACGACCAGCCACACUGGGCCUGAGAAACGCCCCAGACUCCUACGGGAGGGGGCAGUGGGGAAUUUUGGACAAUGGGCGGAAGCCUGAUCCAGCAAUGCCGCGUGCAGGAAGAAGGCCUUCGGGUUGUAAACUGCUUUUGUACGGAGCGAAAAGGCUCCCUCUAAUACAGGGGGCUCAUGACGGUACCGUAAGAAUAAGCACCGGCUAACUACGUGCCAGCCGCCGCCGUAACAC
rnacentral:rRNA from 1 species